UGUGGAGGCCAGCAAGUCCACACUUUGUAGGGUGGAUGGCAGGCUGGAGACCCAGGGAAGAGUGGAUGUUGCAGCUUGAGUUUGAAGGCAGACUGCUGGAAGAAUUCCCUCAUCUUUGGGAAGGGCCCUUCAUGGCUGGUUAGAGGAAAAUUAUCCAAAGCUGCGACCUAACUGGUAAAAAAUGGCUGCAUAUGUAGGAGUCACCUUGUCUGAAUCACAAGGCAUGGGAGUAAAUGAAUCAGGACACAGGGAGAAGAAACAGCAACUGACUUUGCCGGCUGUUCACUCACAUCAUCUCAUUUAAUCUGCACAGCUGCCAAAUCAGCUGGACUCCAAAGCCAGAUUGUGCACAUCUUAAAGCUUCUCAUCAGAUCCUGAAGCCCAGCAUAUUAAAGCAUGCAAAACUAAAGAAGGAAGGUGUCUUCUACUACCUGAGAGGCCCAAUGGCAGACGACACGGAGCCCUGGCAUCAGGAAACUCAGGUCGCAUCCAGACUCUACCACUAACUGCCUAUGCACCCUCUGAGCGUGUUUCUUCAUCUACAAGUCAAAGGUUGGGGCAUAAUAAAUAUUUGGCUCUCUU
rnacentral:lncRNA from 10 species